rnacentral:snRNA from 1 species
GAAAGUAGGAGCAAUGCUGUUGCAACAGUUUCACCCCACUGAUUGCCAGGACAGAUUUGUUUGGUCUGCCUGGUUGAGUACUGUCUUUCCCCCCUCACUACUCAGCACAUGCUCACCCAUGCGUAAGGUAGGGAUUGCUAUUUGGUUGUGGGAAUGCAAAUUGUUGUCCUCUAAUGCUAGAAUUUCCAAAUAAGCGUCUAGAAAUCAUAAAGGACACCAUAAAGACCCUAUGAUUAGAACAUAUGCAACUUUCACCAUUGUGAUAUUGCAAGUGGCCUUGAGU